ACGAACGCUGGCGGCGUGCCUAACACAUGCAAGUCGAACGGGACCGCAAGGUUCAGUGGCGGACGGGUGCGUAACACGUGAGGAACAUAGCCAACGGCGGGGGAUAGCCGGCCCAACGGCCGGGUAAUACCGCGUACGACCUUCGGGGGGCAUCCUCUGGGGGUGAAAGCAGCAAUGCGCCGAUGGGGUGCCUCGCGGCCUAUCAGCUAGUUGGUGAGGUAACGGCUCACCAAGGCUACGACGGGUAGCUGGUCCGAGAGGAUGACCAGCCACAUUGGGACUGAGACACGGCCCAGACUCCUACGGGAGGCAGCAGUGGGGAAUAUUGCGCAAUGGGGGAAACCCUGACGCAGCGACGCCGCGUGUGGGAUGAAGGUCUUCGGAUUGUAAACCACUGUCGGGAGGGACGAAGCUCUGACGGUACCUCCAAAGGAAGCACCGGCUAACUCUGU
rnacentral:rRNA from 1 species